rnacentral:rRNA from 1 species
GACGAACGCUGGCGGCGUGCUUAACACAUGCCAGUCGAACGGAAAGGCCCUGCUUUUGUGGGGUGCUCGAGUGGCGAACGGGUGAGUAACACGUGAGUAACCUGCCCUUGACUUUGGGAUAACUUCAGGAAACUGGGGCUAAUACCGGAUAGGAGCUCCUGCUGCAUGGUGGGGGUUGGAAAGUUUCGGCGGUUGGGGAUGGACUCGCGGCUUAUCAGCUUGUUGGUGGGGUAGUGGCUUACCAAGGCUUUGACGGGUAGCCGGCCUGGGAGGGUGACCGGCCACAUUGGGACUGAGAUACGGCCCAGACUCCUACGGGAGGGAGCAGUGGGGAAUAUUGCACAAUGGGCGGAAGCCUGAUGCAGCAACGCCGCGUGCGGGAUGACGGCCUUCGGGUUGUAAACCGCUUUCGCCUGUGACGAAGCGUGAGUGACGGUAAUGGGUAAAGAAGCACCGGCUAACUACGUG